GGAAAAAGGGCGUGUUUUGACGUCAGCCGGGGCUUUGGAAAACAAACUUGGGAAGCUAAAACUUAAAUGCCCGGCUGAUCGGAUGUUUUUCGGAAAGCAAAGCUUUAUUCUAAAUUUGGGAUUCAUUUAGAUCUAGUAUUUAAUUAUCGGAACCUUAUUUAAGUACGUAUUUGUAUUUUAUUUACAGAUUUUCAGUAACUAUUUCAUCAUGAAACGGAGAAAUCCGUGACUGAUAUUUUCUGGAUCUGAGUCAAGGUUGUUUUAAACUAGGGGGUUUCCACAUUUAUAUUUCGCAAUCUAUUGAUAUGCUAUUUAUAUUCAUUACUAUUUAAGCGUACUUAACGCAGAUUAUUUGAUUAUUUAACUAUUGUAUUGAGAUUGAUUGUUAU
rnacentral:lncRNA from 1 species